rnacentral:tRNA from 1 species
GCGGGGGUGCCCGAGCCAGGUCAAAGGGGGUGGGCUCAAGACCCACUGGCGUAGGCCUGCGUGGGUUCAAAUCCCACCCCCCGCACCA